rnacentral:lncRNA from 1 species
UGAUUUGCAAAAAGAAAAAGAAAGAGACCGUAAUUCUCUGGACAGAAAGAGCACAUAUAUUGUUUUGCCCUUUUGAAGAUAUGUGGACACUUUAGAUCCUAUCGGUUUAGACUUUAGAAUGUCAUCCACACUGUAGAUGGCCCAUGUGGAUGCUUUUUGGGCACAAGGAGAUAUAUUGGGCCAGUUGCAUUAUUGGAGCAAGAUUACUGGAAUAUGCAGCUAUAUAUGCAAGGAUGGUGC